GACGAACGCUGGCGGCGUGCUUAACACAUGCAAGUCGAACGGAAAGGCCCUGCUUUUGUGGGGUGCUCGAGUGGCGAACGGGUGAGUAACACGCGAGUAACCUGCCCUUGAAUUUGGGAUAACUUCAGGGAACUGGGGCUAUUACAGGAUAGGAGCUCCUGCUGCAUGGUGGGGGUUGGAAAGUGUCGGCGGUUGUGGAUGGACUCGCGGCUUAUCAGCUUGUUGGUGGGGUAGGUGCUGACCAAGGCUUUGACGGGUAGCCGGCCUGAGAGGGUGACCGGCCACAUUGGGACUGAGAUACGGACCAGACUGGUACGGGAGGCAGAAGUGGGGAAUAUUGCACAAUGGGCGGAAGCCUGAUGCAGAAACGCCGCGUGCGGGAUGCCGGCUUUCGGGUUGUAAACCGCUUUCGACUGUGACGAAGCGUGAGUGACGGUAAUGGGUAAAGAAGCACCGGCUAACUACGUG
rnacentral:rRNA from 1 species